rnacentral:rRNA from 1 species
AAACGUAGGAGACUAGCGUUAUCCGGAUUUAUUGGGCGUAAAGCGCGUGUAGGCGGUGCUUCAAGUUGGAUGUGAAAUCUCCUGGCCUAACUGGGAGGGGCCAUUCAAAACUGGGGCACUUGAGGGCAGAAGAGGGAAGCGGAAUUCCCGGUGUAGCGGUGGAAUGCGUAGAUAUCGGGAGGAACACCUGUGGCGAAAGCGGCUUCCUGGGCUGCCCCUGACGCUGAUACGCGAAAGCUAGGGGAGCGAACGGGAUUAGAUACCCCGGUAGUCCUAGCUGUAAACGAUGGAUACUAGGUGUUGGUGGUAUUAACCCCAUCAGUGCCGAAGCUAACGCGUUAAGUAUCCCGCCUGGGGAGUACGGCCGCAAGGCUAAA